CUGGACAAUGUAUAAUACUCAGUCUUUUGGGCAAGAAUAGGGCUUCUAAGAGGGCCAGAAUUUUAGCCUUAUUUUUAAUAUCUUUAUCUUUAGAUGUGAGCAGCCCCUGCCUCCGGUAGAUCUCCCCGUGGAUGUGUACCGUGGCAAAGGCAUAACGGCUGUCUGUAUAUAUAUUUAGCCUCUUACCUUUUGUCAUCUUGAGCACCUGAGUCAAGGCGAUGAGUUCAGCCCGUUGUGCGGAGGUACCAGCAGGCAGGGCUUUCGCCCAAAUCACUUUGUCCUCCGUAGUGACCGCAGCUCCAGCCUUUCGCUCUCCCUCUGUCAAGAAGCUGUUGUCAUCCGUGUACCAUGUGUGGUCAGCAUUCUGAAGAGGCUGGUCCGAUAGGUCCAGCCUGGUUCCAUGUACUUCUGUGAGGAUUUGUAGUCAGUCAUGUUGUUUUGUCUCCUCUGGUAGAGGAAGCAAGGUGGCAGGAUUGAGGGCGACUACGGGCCCAAACUGAACCCGUUCUGCAUCCAGUAACAAGGCUUGGUGCGAGAAUUAGAGAGCCAGCGGUCUGGGGGCUGCUUUACCAAGGCCUCCACUGCGUGGGGUGCUAGGAUGGUGAGUGGCUGUCCCAAAGUCAAUUUUCCAGCGUCCUUGAUCAGGACAGCAAUAGCAGCCACCAUCUUUAGGCACGGUGGCCAGCCGGAGGCCACAGGGUCUAAUUUCUUAGACAGGUAGGCCACAGGGCGUUUUCAGGGUCCCAACCUUUGUGUUAGGACCCCUUUAGCAUACCCCUGUUUCUCAUCGAUGAACAGUUACUGAGCAAAUUGUAAGGGUUUGGAACAGUCGGAUGAAUAUCUUCUAUCUUCUUGUUGACCUUUCUCAAGUCUUGUACUGGCCUAUAAUCUCCAGUGCCGGGUUUCUUACAGGCAGAAGAGGCGUAUUCUAAGGCGACCGGCAGGGGAUUAGGAUGCCUUGAUCUAGAAGCCUCGUAAUGUGAGGCCUUAUACCUUGAUAAGCUUCAUGUGACAGGGGGUAUUGUUUUAUGGAGACUGGAGUUGUAAUUAAGGGGGGCUGUUGGAGCGCCAACCCCAUCCCACCAGUCUCUGCCCAAGCCAGUGGAAAAUUUGUGACCCAAGUGUCUAUUUUUAGGGAUUGUGGCUUGUCCUGUCCCGGUUCAUA
ensembl:lncRNA